AGCGAACGUUAGCGGCGGGCUUAACACAUGCAAGUCGAACGAGAAUGAGGGGGCAACUCCUCUAGUAAAGUGGCGGACGGGUGCGUAACACGUGGACAAUCUACCUUCCGGCGGGGGACAACAGUUCGAAAGGACUGCUAAUACCGCGUACGUCGGCGAGGGCUCCGGCUCUUGUCGAGAAAGAUGGCCUCUCCUUGGAAGCUGUCACCGGAAGAUGAGUCCGCGGCCCAUCAGGUAGUUGGUGAGGUAAAGGCUCACCAAGCCAAAGACGGGUAGCUGGUCUGAGAGGAUGAUCAGCCACACUGGGACUGCGACACGGCCCAGACUCCUACGGGAGGCAGCAGUGGGGAAUAUUGGGCAAUGGGCGAAAGCCUGACCCAGCCACGCCGCGUGAGUGAUGAAGGCCUUCGGGUCGUAAAGCUCUGUGGGGAGGGACGAACAAGUGCGUACUAAAUAAGUGCGUGCCCUGACGGUACCUCCUUAGCAAGCACCGGCUAACC
rnacentral:rRNA from 1 species